rnacentral:rRNA from 1 species
CUUGCAUUUCUAUAAGAGGUCCAGCCUGCCCAGUGACUUUGUUCAACGGCCGCGGUAUCCUAACCGUGCGAAGGUAGCGUAAUCACUUGUCUUUUAAAUGGGGACUCGUAUGAAUGGCAUCACGAGGGUUAUACUGUCUCCUUUUUUUAAUCAGUGAAACUAAUCUUCCCGUGAAGAAGCGGGAAUAAUUUUAUUAGACGAGAAGACCCUAUGGAGCUUUAAACUUAAUAACAAACACUAAUAUCCAUUUCAACUUCCAGAACAUUAAUUUCAACUUUAGUACCAUGACUAUUAGUUUUAGGUUGGGGCGACCGCGGAGUAAAAAUUAACCUCCACAUUGAAUAAGACCUAUUCUUGAGCCAAGAGCUACUACCCUAAGCACCGAUUUAUCGACAUUAAUUGACCCAAUAUUUUUGAUCAACGAAC